rnacentral:rRNA from 1 species
GAUGAACGCUGGCGGCGUGCCUAAUACAUGCAAGUCGAGCGAACAGACGAGGAGCUUGCUCCUCUGACGUUAGCGGCGGACGGGUGAGUAACACGUGGAUAACCUACCUAUAAGACUGGGAUAACUUCGGGAAACCGGAGCUAAUACCGGAUAAUAUAUUGAACCGCAUGGUUCAAUAGUGAAAGACGGUUUUGCUGUCACUUAUAGAUGGAUCCCGGCCGCAUUAGCUAGUUGGUAAGGUAACGGCUUACCAAGGCAACGAUGCGUAGCCGACGUGUGAGGGGGGUCGGCCACACUGGAACUGAGACACGGUCCAGAGUCCUACGGGAGGCAGCAGUAGGGAAUCGUCCGCAAUGGGCGAGAGCCUGACGGAGCGACGCGGCGUGAGUGAUGAAGGUCUUCGGAUCGUAAAACUCUGUUAUUAGGGAAGAACAAAUGUGUAAGUAACUAUGCACGUCUUGACGGUACCUAGUCAGAAAGCCACGGCUAACUACGUG